ACAUACGGUCAUAUCUACCAGGCCAUACAGGAUCCCGUCCGCUCUCCAUUAGUCAAACUGGUAAGAGGCAGAUUAGUAGUUGGGUCGGUGACGACCAGCGAACACCGGCUGCUGUAUGUU
rnacentral:rRNA from 1 species